rfam:Cricetulus griseus cell line CHO-K1, whole genome shotgun sequence.
CCAAAGGCUCUUUUCAGAGCCAUCCACUGUAUCUUUUAAAGCGCUG